rnacentral:rRNA from 1 species
UACGUAGGGCGCAAGCGUUGUCCGGAAUUAUUGGGCGUAAAGAGCUCGUAGGCGGUUUGUCACGUCGGCUGUGAAAACCCGAGGCUCAACCUCGGGCCUGCAGUCGAUACGGGCAGGCUAGAGUGCUGUAGGGGAGACUGGAAUUCCUGGUGUAGCGGUGAAAUGCGCAGAUAUCAGGAGGAACACCGGUGGCGAAGGCGGGUCUCUGGGCAGUAACUGACGCUGAGGAGCGAAAGCGUGGGGAGCAAACAGG